rnacentral:rRNA from 1 species
CGUAGGCGGGAUGGCAAGUCGGUCGUGAAAUCCUUCGGCUCAACCCGAAGAACGUCGGCCGAUACUGCCGUUCUUGAGGGAUGCAGAGGAGAUUGGAAUUCCCGGUGUAGCGGUGAAAUGUGUAGAGAUCGGGAGGAACACCGGUGGCGAAGGCGGGUCUCUGGGCAUCUCCUGACGCUGAGGCGCGAAAGCGUGGGGAGCAAACG